GGUGUUGUUGAGAACAGCAGAACAAUGGCCACAGUGGGGUGUUGGGGGCUGGUUUGGUUUUUGUGUGGGGAUGCCAAACAAACUGCAAAACGCAGGCACUUACCCAGUCGGUGGGCGAGUUUGUUGUUGUGUGUUCGUGUGUGUGUAAGCGCCUCGUUAGGAAAGCAACUCAAAAUGACGCCCGAAGUCCUGCCCCAGGUCUGCGCCGCUGGUCGGGUCGGGUCGGGUCGUGUCGGGUCCUGCCUUGUUUUCUCUAUGCAAUUUGC
rnacentral:lncRNA from 1 species